CCAGGGCUGAUGGCGGCCGUGCAGCUGGUGGAGUCCGGAGGGGGCCUCCAGACACCCGGGGGGUCCCUCACCCUCCGCUGCAAGGCCUCCGGCUUCACCUUCAGCAGCUUCAACAUGCAGUGGGUGCGACAGGCCCCCGGGAAGGGGCUCGAGUGGGUCGCGAGUAUUUACAGUAGUGGUAGCGCCUACUACGCGCCGUCGGUCAAGGGGCGCUUCACCAUCUCCAGGGACAACUCCCAGAGCACGCUCACGCUGCAGAUGAACAGCCUCCGGGACGACGACACGGCCACCUACUACUGCGCGAAAAGUUAUGCUGGUGGUUGUUAUUAUGGUGGUGGCACCAACCCCGACACCGUGUCCCACCUUCCCUGUGUUGGGUCCCCGAUCGACCGAUUUUGCCCCAAAUCUCAACCAUUAUCAUCAAACCCUGACCGAUUUCUCACCAGACCUCCAUGGUUUGACCCAACUCUUGACCAUUCACCCCAAACCUUGACCAUUUUAUCCCCAAAUCUCAAAUGAUUGGCACCAAACCUCCACCAUUUCUGCCCCAAACCUCCACCCUUCUUGCCCCAAACCUUCCAUGCUCUCGACC